GUGGGGAAUCUUGCGCAAUGGGCGAAAGCCUGACGCAGCCAUGCCGCGUGAAUGAUGAAGGUCUUAGGAUUGUAAAAUUCUUUCACCGGGGACGAUAAUGACGGUACCCGGAGAAGAAGCCCCGGCUAACUUCGUGCCAGCAGCCGCGGUAAUACGAAGGGGGCUAGCGUUGCUCGGAAUUACUGGGCGUAAAGGGCGCGUAGGCGGAUCGUUACGUCAGGGGUGAAAUCCCAGAGCUCAACUCUGGAACUGCCCUUGAUACUGGCGAUCUUGAGUGUGAGAGAGGUAUGUGGAACUCCGAGUGUAGAGGUGAAAUUCGUAGAUAUUCGGAAGAACACCAGUGGCGAAGGCGACAUACUGGCUCAUUACUGACGCUGAGGCGCGAAAGCGUGGGGAGCAAACAGGAUUAGAUACCCUGGUAGUCC
rnacentral:rRNA from 1 species